rnacentral:rRNA from 1 species
AUGCCCAUUGGUGUUCCAAAAGUACCUUACCGGAUUCCCGGAGAUGAAGAAGCGACUUGGGUUGACUUAUACAAUGUUAUGUAUCGAGAAAGGACACUUUUUUUAGUUCACUGCCCUAUACAUAGAAAGAAGUGCUUUUCCACCGGUAUCAACAUUCUAUCUGGAAUCAAUAGCGAUAGUUGUUGUAUUGUGAGCCAGCCCCACCCACGGGUUAAAUUGUACAGCUCCCUAUCUCGUUGA